AUGCUCACUCCAGCAGCAUAUAUACUAGAAUGGAAAUGAUGCAGAGAUUAGUGUGAUCUCAGCACAAGGAUGACAUGAAAAAAAUCUAUGAACGAUUUCAUGUUUUU